UACGGGGGGGGCAAGCGUUGUUCGGAAUUACUGGGCGUAAAGGGCUCGUAGGCGGCCAACUAAGUCAGACGUGAAAUCCCUCGGCUUAACCGGGGAACUGCAUCUGAUACUGGAUGGCUUGAGAUUGGGAGAGGGGUGCGGAAUUCCAGGUGUAGCGGUGAAAUGCGUAGAUAUUGGGAAGAACACCGAUGGCGAAGGCAGCCAUCUGGACCGACACUGACGCUGAGGCGCGAAAGCGUGGGGAGCAAACAGG
rnacentral:rRNA from 1 species